GAUGAACGCUGGCGGCGUGCUUAACACAUGCAAGUCGAACGAUGAAGCCCAGCUUGCUGGGUGGAUUAGUGGCGAACGGGUGAGUAACACGUGAGUAACCUGCCCUUGACUCUGGGAUAAGACUGGGAAACUGGGUCUAAUACCGGAUACGACCAUUGCCCGCAUGGGUUGGUGGUGGAAAGCUUUUGUGGUUUUGGAUGGACUCGCGGCCUAUCAGCUUGUUGGUGGGGUAAUGGCUUACCAAGGCGUCGACGGGUAGCCGGCCUGAGAGGGUGACCGGCCACACUGGGACUGAGAUACGGCCCAGACUCCUACGGGAGGCAGCAGUGGGGAAUAUUGCACAAUGGGCGGAAGCCUGAUGCAGCGACGCCGCGUGAGGGAUGACGGCCUUCGGGUUGUAAACCGCUUUCGGUAGUGAAGAAGCGAGAGUGACGGUACCGGGAGAAGAAGCACCGGCUAACUACGUG
rnacentral:rRNA from 1 species